CCUACGGGAGGCAGCAGUGAGGAAUCUUGGUCAAUGGGCGCUAGCCUGAACCAGCUAAGUCGCGUGAAGGAUGACUGCCCUAUGGGUUGUAAACUUCUUUUAUAUGGGAAUAAAGUGCAGUAUGUAUACUGCUUUUCAUGUACCUUAUGAAUAAGGAUCGGCUAACUCCGUGCCAGCAGCCGCGGUAAUACGGAGGGUUCGAGCGUUUUCCGGUUUUAUUGGGUUUAAAGGGAGCGUAGGCGGGUUGUUAAGUCAGGUGUGAAAGUUUGCGGCUCAACCGGAAAAUUGCAGUUGAUACUGGCAUCCUUGAGUGCAGUAGAGGUAGGCGGAAUGCGUGGUGUAGCGGUGAAAUGCUUAGAGAUCACGAAGAACUCCGAUUGCGAAGGCAGCCUGCUGGACUGUAACUGACGCUGAUGCUCGAAAGUGUGGGUAGCAAACAGGAUUAGAUACCCCAGUAGUC
rnacentral:rRNA from 1 species